GCCACAACUGUGACCUACACCACAGCUCAAGGCAUUGCUGGAUCCUUAACCCACUGAGUGAGGCCAGGAAUGGAAGCCGAAUCCUCGCAGAAACAAGAUGUUUGAUGUCCUGCUGAUUUUAUCACCUGAUUGUCUCAGCCGGUUUCUGGUGUUGGGAAAGAGCAGACAAACUAUCAUUGAUUUAUCUAUCUACUGUGUGGCAUCAGCUGCAUCCAUCAAUUCAUUGCAAGGAAGCCAUGUUCUCUUCUUCAAGCUUCUCUUUAAGCUUAAAGUACAAACUGUCCAAUUGAAAGAAUUGCGUGGGACCAUUUUCAAGUCUAGAAGCACUUUACAAUGCUCCUGAAUGUGUGGCAUCUCACUGGGAUCAUGUCAUUCAUCAGCUGAGGAUACUGACAAAAAAUAUAGCUCUAAUAGCGUCUCUAUGGAUAGGUCCAGGUACAAAAUCAACAUUUCCCUCUGUCUGUUCAUACACACCAUAUUGCAUGUAAAAUAUUGUUUUCCAAGCUACUCCAGUGUCACAAGAAUGAUCUCCCUAGGGAAACAGCUGUAAAUACCUGAAUAAGUAUUAUGUAGACAUUGCAGGCUUUAGUCUGGAGAUAGUGUUAAUGUUAACAUUCUUAUUUUUGUCAUAGAUGACUUUUUCUAACUCUAGACCAGUUAACAUCCAUGCAUAAUGUAUGUCUUUCAAAGGGAACUUUGGAUUUUUUUUUUUUUUUGCCUUAGUGUAUUUUAAAAAAUCAAGAUUUGUUGUCAGUAACUUAGGGAAACUUUUCUCACAGCUGUUUCCAUCAUAUAAGAUGCAAAAGUAGUAUUUUAGACCUUGAGAAUUGGUCAUUAGAGCUAACACUCUUUAGUUAUCCAAAGAAUCAUGAAGUACUUCCCUCCUUCCCCCCUUCCUUCAACCCAACAAAAUUUAGCAUGGCAUAUAUGUAGAUUUUAGCGAGUAAGGCUUGGGGAAUUUGAGAUGAGUGAUCCAAAUUUCUGCCUGUAAGGAAUUCAGAGUCUAAGAGAAUUAGACCUAAAUAAGGAAUCAUGUAUGCUACAUGUCAGCUGAGUUACCCAGGCUACUAAGAUUCAAUGAGUUUGCUUCCAGUCCUAAUCUAUAAGCAAUGAUAGCCUUCAGUCCCUCCAAUCCUUCCAAAAGAAUUGUUUGGAGAGGAAGGAAAAGGGAGUAGGGGGGUGGUUAGGAUGUUACUUACAUCCCCUCUCAUCACUUCCAGCUGCAUCUUGCUGUUCUAUAUAUUAUGUUUCUGCAUCAUUUUACCCAAGCUCUGGGACAUGACCCCUGAAAAUUUCAUGCACACAGACAUGUAAUGGAUUUUACUGAAAGUUUGAGAUGGUGGAGUGGUUUUAUACUGUCCAUCAUGUGUCCUCCUCUCUCUGUAUAUACUCUAUUUUUCCAUCUUUCAGGCCCCCACCCAAUUAACACAGAAGAAAGAAGCUUCAUGGAAUUAUAGAAAGUAAUGGAUAAAGCGUGAAAGGUGAAUAAACACUGAUCAGACUCUGGGGCACAUCACUGGCAGUGAGGGGGCCUUUUCUUCCUUUAACUGGGUGAAACCUGUCAUCUUCUCCAUCUUUGCUCUACGCUCUUCUAUCCAUGGACUCUACAAUGUGUCUGGUUAGUAACUGCCUCACACGUCAGUGGUACCAAAACCUGUAGAGACUUAAACUUUCACUUUCUCUGCUUUUCUCCCCUUUAGGUAAAGGAAAGGGAGCACUAAAGAUUCACCAAUAUCUAAUAAUGUCACUUCUUUUAGAAAGAAAUCACAGAUGUUUUAAAUAUUAUAUUUUUCCUUUUUAAAACUGUGACAGUCUAAUCUAAUCCAACCCUAUAUCAAGGUAUUAAUAUUCUCUCGUACUGUUCUAAACUGUGACUCUAAAACAAUCAUGUUCCAUACCAGGCACAGGCUUCUAUGACUACUAUAAGUUUACCCUUAAGUGAAAAAUAACUACUAUUGAAUACAGAAUUCUAUCACUGUUAAAACAGUUAUUUUAUUGAAUCAUAGUCAAUAUAUACUCAUUCGCCUUGUAACAAUAGUGGAGGUAACUUCAAGUUGAAAAAAGAAGAAAGUCCUAUUCUCCAGGAAUUAACAUUCUAAAAGAAAUUGUUUUCUGAAGUAAAUCUUUUUAUAAAUCAAAAUGACAGAAUUGUAAAGUCAAAGAAAUUAAAAACUUCAGAAAUGAAUAGUGGAUAUAUUAUCACUUCUCAAAUAUUCAUACUGUAAGGACCACUUAAGAAUGAAAUGGUGGAGUUCCCGUCGUGGCGCAGUGGUUAACGAAUCCGACUAGGAACCAUGAGGUUGCGGGUUCGGUCCCUGCCCUUGCUCAGUGGGUUAACGAUCCGGCGUUGCCCUGAGCUGUGGUGUAGGUUGCAGAUGUGGCUCGGAUCCCGAGUUGCUGUGGCUCUGGUGUAGGCCGGUGGCUACAGCUCUGAUUGGACCCCUAGCCUGGGAACCUCCAUAUGCCGCGGAAGCGGUCCUAGAAAAG